ensembl:lncRNA
AUCAGCUUGGCCUGUGAGCAUGUCCUUGGGGCAUUUGCUUAAUUGCUAAUGGAUGUAGAAGGGCUCAGCCCACCAGAGACAAUACCAUCCCUGGGCAGGUGGGUAUGGCCUGUAUAAGAAAGGCAGGAGCUGAGCAGGCCAGGGGUUAGGACCAGUAAGUAGAGCAGGGCACCCCAUGGUUUGUACUUCAGUUCCUGCUUCCAGGUUCCCUCAAUGAUCAGCCUUUGGUCACGGUGCUUACCACAACAAGAGAAAAGCAAAUAGAUCACUAUCCUUCUCCAUCUCCUCUCUGGACUGGGUUGAGAAAGGUUCACCAUGUUUUUAUCUUACUCCAGCCCCUAGCAGCAGGGCUGGCAAAUGAUUCUUCAUGCUCAGAAUAAAAGGCCCAGUCCACACAGAGUCCAAUAACAGCCAACACAAGAAGGUCCAGAGUGAACCACACAGAAAGGUAAAUGAACCUUUCUUAUAAAUCAGUUGAUCCACGAUGAGAUCAUUCACAGUUGCCAUGGUAGAAGUCUAGCAGCCAGAACCCAGCACUGCUGUUAAUGAGAAGCACUGCUGGUUCACAUUUACAGGGGAAGCAAUGCCUCCCAGAGGCCAACACCAGGGAAGAGCAGUCACUGGUGAGACAAAUGACAAGAGAGGGGGACCGUGCAUCUGGGAAAAAAAAUGAUUUACUACUAUGGCCCAGCUUAUUUCCCUCCAUUGGGAUAGUUUGCCAUACAAGUACAAUCUAAGCCAAGGCCUUCUCAGCUUUCUAGAUCAUAUGAGAUUAGGCAUGCUCAGGUCCAUACAGGAAUAAACUACAGGAAUCAUUUUCAUAAAGUUCAAGUAUGUUCUUUCUUUUUGUUUGUUUGUUUAUUUAUUUAUUUUGGUUUUUUGAGACAGGGUUUCUCUGUGUAGUUUUGGAGCCUAUCCUGGCACUCGCUCUGGAGACCAGGCUGGCCUCGAACUCACAUAGAUCCACCUGCCUCUGCCUCCCGAGAACUGGGAUUAAAGGCAUGCGCCACCAACGCCCAGCUGCUUGUUUAUUAUUUUUUUUCCAAGACAGGGUUUCACUGUAGUUCUGGCUGUUCUGGAACUCGAUCUGUAGACCAGGCUGACCUCGAACUCACAGAGAUCUGCUUGCCUCUGGCUCCUGAGUGCUGGGGUUAAAGGUAUGUGUGCCACCACACCCAACUGUUUUGUUUCACCUGAAAACAGAUAAGGUCUGUGGAUACAGCUCAGUAGUAUAGCACUUGCCUGGUAUAUGUGAGGCCCUGUGUUUGACCCUCAGCUCCCAGAAAACAAACAUGUAAAAGAUGCCAGGCAUAGUGUCUCAUACUUAUAAUGCCAACAUUUAGGAACCUGAAGCCUGAGGAUUGACUGACACAAGCUUAAGGCCUACAGAUGCAGCGUGAGGCCCUGUCUCGAAACAAAACAAACAGAUCAACAACAAAGGUGAAAGUGCACAGGGAUAGGCUCCAAAGCUACACAGAGAAACCCUGUCUCAAAAAACCAAACCAAACCAAACAAAAAACAAAGGUGAAAAUGAAGGGACCAGCUCCCCAUUUCAGCAGCUAUAACAGCCUAGCACGAGCUUGUCUAACCUUGCCUUGGUCACUAGAGGUUAGAAAAGCAUGUGUUACUGUCAUGGCUGCCGAAAGGGGCAGGCAUCUGACCUUAGUGACUAAGACAAGGUCAGACAAAUACAUGUUCGGCUGUUAUGGCUGCUGAAAUGGGGAGCUGGUCCCUUCACCGCCUACGCCCGGCAUAAAUAAAAUCUUAAAAAAAAAAAAAGAUAUCCCUUGAAUUUCCCUCGGGUCAGGUUUGAAAUCCCGCUAUAGGGGCGGCACUCAGUUCGGACCCUGGGUCCUUUUUGGUUUCGGGACAGCUGUGUCCCCUUCAGGGACAGCAACUCCCACGGGCCGACAGUCAUCUGGAGAGGAGCUUUUGCCGGUUUUUCCACUUGCCUCACCCAUGGGAAAUGCAUAAGGAACCUUUCUGGUUGCAGCCAACAGGUGGGUAAACAGACAAAAAAAGCAGCUUAUGGUCACCGCCAUCUUGGCCAUAUGGUCUGACCUGAGGGCCGCCAUCUUGGCCAUGUGACCUACCUGUAGGCAUGCCCACUCCAGCAGCUUGUGCCAGCAAACCUGGCUGUUGGACUUUUGCUUUCUGUCAGAAUUCUUUUCUGCUUUCUUAUUUGUGUGUGUGUGUGUGUGUGAUUUUUUCUUUCACUGGCUCUGUUGCUCAUGGCUUGUUUACUAAAUACUGUGCCUUUCCAGGGCCCUCUGUUUAAGUCUGUUCUGUCCCUUUAAAUCUCCUGUCUGUUUACCACAAUGUAUGGAUCAGAGAAUACAUUCUGGUUCCCCCCUUUUACUCUUAACCAGUCCUACUUGUCUCUGCACAUGUAAUUUAAAUUUAACUUUAUACUAAUCUAACUCUAUAUACAACUUAAAUUAAACUGUGCUGUCUCAUAUUUCUAAAUUGCUAUUUAUCUUUAAGUGAUGGUAAACAUUUAAAGUCAUAAAGAUCUAAUUUAACUAUAUUUAAAAUAUAAGCUAACUCUAUACAACUUAAAUUUAACUCAUGUAUCUUUAAAUAUGAUGAAAGUUUAAAAUCAUAAAGGUCUAUUUCAAAUUAACAAAAUAUUUAUGCCACUCAGUUCAUCCUGUACGCCAUUUACAAAGGUAUAGCUUUUUAUUACAAAAGGGGAUUUUUCUCUAACUAAAGGCAAACUUUUGACUGCUGAGAUACUAAACAGCCCUCAAAUGUUCAGAGAUCUAGAGAACAUGACAUUUAAAAUGUUUUGUUAAAAAGCUUUCUAUAACAGAGAUAGUCCAGGUGCUGGCUCCACCCCAUUUCCUCCAAGAAGACUGAUGGGCACAGAAGAAACUUCAUCUCAAGUCAGUGACAACACUAGCCACUAAGCAACCCUGCCUUUCACCUCAGCUGCUACAAAGUACUCCAGACUGUGGAUAAGAGGAUAAUGGAAUCGACUUUCCCUGCAUUGUUUGGGCCAACGGUAGGUGAGCCUUCCUGUAGUCCAUAAUCCACAGGUCACAUGCUAACAGCAAGAAGGCAGGUGUCCUGCAGCCCGCUACUAUGGAUGGAGGACCUUGGGGGUAGCUGUCCAUGCAGCCUGCUGGCAAGCCUCUGUUAUUCUUUAAUCAUUGAUUCAGGUAAAAUCUUAUCCUUCUCAAGAACUCUGAUGCUUCUGAUGACUGGUAGUCUUGCCAGCUUAAAACAAAACAGAUUUCAGGAACAGCUUUUUUAGGGUUUAUCUAUGUGAAGACAGGAAAGUGUAUGAAGG